rnacentral:rRNA from 1 species
GACGAACGCUGGCGGCGUGCUUAACACAUGCAAGUCGAACGGAAAGGCCCCGUUGGGGGUACUCGAGUGGCGCACGGGGGAGUAAAACGUGAGUAAGCUGCGCUUGUCUCCGGGAUAAAAUCAGGAAACAGGGGGUAAUACAGGGGAGAAAUCCUUGCUGCAUGGGGGGGGGUGGAAAGAUUCGGCGGGUUUGGGUGGGCGCGCGGCUUAUAAGAUCGUUGGGGGGGUAGUGGCUUACCAAGGCUUUGACGGGUAGCCGGCCUGAGAGGGCGACCGGCCACAUUGGGACUGGGAUACGGCCCAGACUCCUACGGGAGGCGGCAGUGGGGAAUAUUGCCCAAUGGGCGGAAGCCGGAUGCAGCAACCCCGCGGGCGGGAUGCCGGCCUUCGGGUUGUAACCCGCUUUCAGCAGGGGCGAAGCUUGUGGUGACGGUACCUGCAGAAGAAGCACCGGCUAACUACGUG